AACUCAUUUUAUUCUGGUGAAUGUAUUAAACCUCUACAUCAAUCGGACAUGGAGUUUUUUGAAUAACCAGCCGUAAACAUUAAUUAAUGCUAGAAAUAGUGAAUUAGUGAAGUAGAGUAUAUCAUUAACAAAAUAGGUGCCAGCAGUUGCGGUCAUACCUGAAAUGAUUUAAUACCUUUAGGUGGGCAUAGUACAAAGACUAAGAAAAAAGAAACAUCCAUCAGUAAAAUGCUGAUGUUUUAGUAGUUGCCGUAUUCUUAGUAGUACUUGUAAUGCCGAAACUCUUUAAAAUUAGCAAACUAGGAUUAGAUACCCUACUAUGGAGAGCGCAAGUCACCACACCUAAGCACUAAAACCUAUGUAAUGGUUAAAACUUAAAGAUUAUGGCGGCAACUUAAAAUACUCAGGGGAACUUACCAGGUAAUCGACAGCACCCGUGAGGCACUACUCACUUUAAUAAUUUAUAUAUUGCCGUUUAGGGUUUUGUUUAAGAAUACCUAAUAAUGUUAUAACAUUUAAAACAGGUCAUGAUGUAGUUUAUGAGUGAGUCUUAAGGUGAGUUACAGUAUUAAUUUUUUUUCAGAGUUGAGUUUAAAUAUCUCGACACAAGGUGGACUUGAAAGUAAAGAUCACUUCAUAAUAAAUCUUGAAUAAUAGUUUAAGUUGUGCACAAAUCGCCCGUCGCUCUAACCUUACUUACCUUUCCUACGUAAGUAAUAAUUAGAUAAGUCGUAACACAGUAGGUGUAAAUGAAUUUGCACCUGUUUGUGA
rnacentral:ncRNA from 1 species